rnacentral:rRNA from 1 species
UGGGGAAUAUUGCACAAUGGGCGCAAGCCUGAUGCAGCCAUGCCGCGUGUAUGAAGAAGGCCUUCGGGUUGUAAAGUACUUUCAGCGGGGAGGAAGGGAGUAAAGUUAAUACCUUUGCUCAUUGACGUUACCCGCAGAAGAAGCACCGGCUAACUCCGUGCCAGCAGCCGCGGUAAUACGGAGGGUGCAAGCGUUAAUCGGAAUUACUGGGCGUAAAGCGCACGCAGGCGGUUUGUUAAGUCAGAUGUGAAAUCCCCGGGCUCAACCUGGGAACUGCAUCUGAUACUGGCAAGCUUGGGUCUCGUAGAGGGGGGUAGAAUUCCAGGUGUAGCGGUGAAAUGCGUAGAGAUCUGGAGGAAUACCGGUGGCGAAGGCGGCCCCCUGGACGAAGACUGACGCUCAGGUGCGAAAGCGUGGGGAGCAAACGGG